rnacentral:lncRNA from 1 species
GAGGCUGAUCUUCAGAAGGUUUUUCCCUCCUUCGCAGCUCCGAUUGCGGCAGGGCCUUUGGCCAAUCUUCCCUACUUUCAGGUUGGCAUCGAAUGAAUCCAUCGACCGUCGUUGCUGGAGGAGGGGGAGCCUGAGAUCUGACCGCGGAGGCCGUGGAUCACCCAGUAGAUGCCUUUCAGGGAGGCAUCAGGUGAAGAUCUAGUAGGAAAAGGAGAGGAGGGCAUCGAAGA